CGAGUGGCGGACGGGUGAGUAAUGCGUAGGAAUUUACCUCAAAGCGGGGGAUAGCCCGGAGAAAUCCGGAUUAAUACCGCAUGUGCUCUACGGAGGAAAGCGGGCCUCUUCUUGAAAGCUCGCACUUUGAGAUAAGCCUACGUCGGAUUAGCUUGUUGGUAGGGUAAAAGCCUACCAAGGCGACGAUCCGUAGCUGGUUUGAGAGGAUGAUCAGCCACACUGGGACUGAGACACGGCCCAG
rnacentral:rRNA from 1 species